rnacentral:pre_miRNA from 14 species
ACUUAGGUGUUGCACGGGACACUGUUCCCAGAUCUGAUCUAGGCCCUGAAAGACCCCCGAAGGGAGCCCCCCACUCAAGUCUCGGGAAAGACGCGCACCCAGUAGGACACAGACACCG